rnacentral:tRNA from 1 species
GGAAAGGUGGCCGAGAGGCUGAUGGCGCCGGUCCCGAAAACCGGAGCACCUUAACGGAUGUCGUGAGUUCGAAUCUCACUCUUUCCGCCA